AAUAUGGGUGGGCUAUAGCCUUGGUGGGGGGCGCGGGCGAAGUUCGUCCGCCGGACUCGGAAUGGGGCGAGACUUUGCGCGGGGUCUCGGGGCGCCAAAAAUAAGCCGCGGGCAAAGCCGCACCCAAAAGUAAGCGCCCGAAGGUCGUGGUGCCAAAACCCCCCAGCGGAAAAAUGGCCAAAAAACGGGUGGGCUAUAGCCUUGGUGGGGGGCGCGGGCGAAGUUCGUCCGCCGGACUCAAGGUAUGUUCGCACGCGAGACUUUGCGAGGAGCCUCGGGGCACCAAAAAUAAGCCGCGGGCAAAGCCGCGCCCAAAAAUAAGCGCCCGAAGGUCGUGGUGCCAAAAACCCCCUGCGGAAAAAUGGCCAAAAAACGGGUGGGCUAUAGCCUUGGUGGGGGGCGCGGGCGAAGUUCGUCUGCCGGACUCGGAAUGGGGCGAGACUUUGCGAGGGGCCUCGGGGUGCCAAAAAUAAGCCGCGGGCAAGGCCGUGCCCAAAAAUAAGCGCCCGAAGGUCGUGGUGCCAAAACCCCCCAGCGGAAAAAUGGCCAAAAAACGGGUGGGCUAUACCCUUGGUGGGGGGCGCGGGCGAAGUUCGUCCGCCGGACUCGGAAUGGGGCGAGACUUUGCGCGCGGCCUCGGAGCGACAAAAAUAAGCCGCGGGCAAAGCCGCGCCCAAAAAUAAGCGCCCGAAGGUCGUGGUGCCAAAACCCCCCAGCGGAAAAAUGGCCAAAAAACGGGUGGGCUAUAGCCUUGGUGGGGGGCGCGGGCGAAGUUCGUCCGCCGGACUCGGAAUGGGGCGAGACUUUGCGCGGGGCCUCGGGGCGCCAAAAAUAAGCCGCGGGCAAAGCCGCGCCCAAAAAUAAGCGCCCGAAGGUCGUGGUGCCAAAACCCCCCAGCGGAAAAAUGGCCAAAAAACGGGUGGGCUAUAGCCUUGGUGGGGGGCGCGGGCGAAGUUCGUCCGCCGGAUUCGGAAUGGGGCGAGACUUUGCGAGGGGCCUCGGGGCACCAAAAAUAAGCUGCGGGCAAAGCCGCACCCAAAAAUAAGCGCCCGAAGGUCGUGGUGCCAAAACCCCCCAGCGGAAAAAUGGCCAAAAAACGGGUGGGCUAUAGCCUUGGUGGGGGGCGCGGGCGAAGUUCGUCCGCCGGAUUCGGAAUGGGGCGAGACUUUGCGAGGGGCCUCGGGGCACCAAAAAUAAGCCGCGGGCAAAGCCGCACCCAAAAAUAAGCGCCCGAAGGUCGUGGUGCCAAAAACCCCCUGCGGAAAAAUGGCCAAAAAACGGGUGGGCUAUAGCCUUGGUGGGGGGCGCGGGCGAAGUUCGUCUGCCGGACUCGGAAUGGGGCGAGACUUUGCGAGGGGCCUCGGGGAGCCAAAAAUAAGCCGCGGGCAAGGCCGCGCCCAAAAAUAAGCGCCCGAAGGUCGUGGUGCCAAAACCCCCCAGCGGAAAAAUUGCCAAAAAACGGGUGGGCUAUAGCCUUGGUGGGGGGCGCGGGCGAAGUUCGUCCGCCGGACUCGGAAUGGGGCGAGACUUUGCGAGGGGCCUCGGGGUGCCCGCGGGAAGUCGCGGGCACAGCCGCGCCCAAAAAUAAGCGCCCGAAGGUCGUGGUGCCAAAACCCCCCAGCGGAAAAAUGGCCAAAAAACGGGUGGGCUAUAGCCCUGGUGGGGGGCGCGGGCGAUGUUCGUCCGCCGGACUCGGAAUGGGGCGAGACUUUGCGAGGGGCCUCGGGGCACCAAAAAUAAGCCGCGGGCAAAGCCGUGCCCAAAAAUAAGCACCCGAAGGUCGUGGUCCCAAAACCCCCCAGCGGAAAAAUGGCCAAAAAACGGGUGGGCUAUAGCCUUGGUUGGGGGCGCGGGUGAAGUUCGUCCGCCGGACUCGGAAUGGGGCGAGACUUUGCUCGGGGCCUCGGGGCACCAAAAAUAAACCGCGGGCAAAGCCGCGCCCAAAAAUAAGCGCCCGAAGGUCGUGGUGCCAAAACCCCCCAGCGGAAAAAUGGCCAAAAAACGGGUGGGCUAUAGCCUUGGUGGGGGGCGCGGGCGAAGUUCGUCCGCCGGACUCGGAAUGGGGCGAGACUUUGCGAGGGGCCUCGGGGCACCAAAAAUAAGCCGCGGGCAAAGCCGUGCCCAAAAAUAAGCGCCCGAAGGUCGUGGUCCCAAAACCCCCCAGCGGAAAAAUGGCCAAAAAACGGGUGGGCUAUAGCCUUGGUGGGGGGCGCGGGUGAAGUUCGUCCGCCGGACUCGGAAUGGGGCGAGACUUUGCUCGGGGCCUCGGGGCACCAAAAAUAAACCGCGGGCAAAGCCGCGCCCAAAAAUAAGCGCCCGAAGGUCGUGGUGCCAAAACCCCCCAGCGGAAAAAUGGCCAAAAAACGGGUGGGCUAUAGCCUUGGUGGGGGGCGCGGGCGAAGUUCGUCCGCCGGACUCGGAAUGGGGCGAGACUUUGCGAGGGGCCUCGGGGCACCAAAAAUAAGCCGCGGGCAAAGCCGUGCCCAAAAAUAAGCGCCCGAAGGUCGUGGUCCCAAAACCCCCCAGCGGAAAAAUGGCCAAAAAACGGGUAGGCUAUAGCCUUGGUGGGGGGCGCGGGUGAAGUUCGUCCGCCGGACUCGGAAUGGGGCGAGACUUUGCUCGGGGCCUCGGGGCGCCAAAAAUAAGCCGCGGGCAAAGCCGCGCCCAAAAAUAAGCGCCCGAAGGUCGUGGUACCAAAACCCCCCAGCAGAAAAAUGGCCAAAAAACGGGUGGGCUAUAGCCUUGGUGGGGGGCGCGGGCGAAGUUCGUCCGCCGGACUCGGAAUGGGGCGAGACUUUGCGAGGGGCCUCGGGGUGCCCGCGGGAAGUCGCGGGCACAGCCGCGUCCAAAAAUAAGCGCCCGAAGGUCGUGGUGCCAAAACCCCCCAGCGGAAAAAUGGCCAAAAAACGGGUGGGCUAUAGCCUUGGUGGGGGGCGCGGGCGAAGUUCGUCCGCCGGACUCGGAAUGGGGUGAGACUUUGCGAGGGGCCUCGGGGUGCCAAAAAUAAGCCGCGGGCAAGGCCGCGCCCAAAAAUAAGCGCCCGAAGGUCGUGGUGCCAAAACCCCCCAGCGGAAAAAUGGCCAAAAAACGGGUGGGCUAUAGCCUUGGUGGGGGGCGCGGGCGAAGUUCGUCCGCCGGACUCGGAAUGGCU
rnacentral:lncRNA from 1 species